rnacentral:rRNA from 1 species
UAGUCCACACCGUAAACGAUGAGAACUAGCCGUUGGAACUGUUAUGGUUUUAGUGGCGCAGCUAACGCGUUAAGUUCUCCGCCUGGGGAGUACGGUCGCAAGAUUAAAACUCAAAUGAAUUGACGGGGGCCCGCACAAGCGGUGGAGCAUGUGGUUUAAUUCGAUGCAACGCGAAGAACCUUACCUACCCUUGACAUUGACAGAAUCCUGUAGAGAUACGGGAGUGCCUUCGGGCCUGGAAAACAGGUGCUGCAUGACUGUCGUCAGCUCGUGUCGUGAGAUGUUGGGUUAAGUCCCGUAACGAGCGCAACCCUUGUCCUUAGUUGCCAGCACGUAAUGGUGGGGACUCUAAGGAGACUGCCGGUGACAAACCGGAGGAAGGUGGGGACGACGGUCAAGUCAUCAUGGCCCUUAUGGGUAGGGCUACUCACGUGCUACAAUGGGCAGUACAGAGGGUUGCGAAGCCGCGAGGUGGAGCUAAUCUCAGAAAACUGUUCGUAGUCCGGAUUGCACUCUGCAAC